UACGUAGGGGGCGAGCGUUGUCCGGAAUCAUUGGGCGUAAAGCGCGUGUAGGCGGCCUGGCAAGUCUGGCGUGAAAUCCCGCGGCUCAACCGCGGAACUGCGCUGGAUACUGCCAGGCUCGAGUCCGGGAGAGGAGAGUGGAAUUCCUGGUGUAGCGGUGGAAUGCGCAGAUAUCAGGAGGAACACCCGUGGCGAAGGCGGCUCUCUGGAACGGUACUGACGCUGAGACGCGAAAGCGUGGGGAGCGAACAGG
rnacentral:rRNA from 1 species